CCAUGCAGAUUUUCUACGCCUUUAGACCAGAUAUUCUAAGAAACUUCCUGCUAUAGAUUAACUAGAUCCUGAUUGUGUUUUUCAUUUCCAGGCUUAGAAGAAAUAAAGGAAAUAUCCCAGGAGCAAAAACAAAACACACACAUGCUCCUCUCAAGAGUCACUGGCAUCCCAGCUGAAAAGUCAGCUCUACACCUAUGGGACCUAUGGGCCUGUUUCUGAGCUCUGUUUUGUCUCUUUGGUCUGAGUGUCUAUCUGAGGCCAAUACCACAGUACCAAAUGCGAUUGCUUUAGAGGAAGUCUUGAAAUCAGAUGAGGCUGAAGGCUGUUGAAUUAUGAGAAAGCGUCAUUUGAAGAGAUGGAUGCCUGUGACCCCGCCAGGCUCUGCAGACCUGGAGGCGGCUCCAGAUCUGGGGUGUGCGGCGCAUUGUGUGUCCAACAGGGAGCAUAACUUUCGCAUCUCAGUCCUUCUCCAUUUCCUGAGGCUUCUUCAGGCUCUGGUGUGUGGUCCACCCUGGAGAAUGUCUCGCUCUCCUCUCGAGAGGAACGUGGCUGCGGCUCUGCGUGGACCGUUUGGCAGAGGCUCAUAUGCUGGAUCCACUGGUUGGUUCACGGGGUUCAUUCCUGUCUGUUGAUCUUCUACCUAGUGGCUCCAUCACUCAUUCAAGGUAGGACCAGUGAAGUCACCAACGUUCACUGUCAGAUUGUCUAUUUCUCCCUUUAGUUCUGUCGUUUUUUACGUUGUGUAUUUUGGGGCUCUGGUGUUAGGCGAUGUGUGUCCAUAUAUUUCUCCCUUUAAUUCUGUCCGUUUUUACUUUGCAUAUUUUGGGCUCUGGUGUUGGGUGAUAUGUGUCCAUAUUUGUUACGUCUUGGGAGAGAUUGACCUUUUUGUUUUUAUAAAAUGUCCUUUUGGUGUCUCAAACAACGACUUUUGGCUUAAAGUCUAUUUUGUCUGCAUUCAGCCACCCGAUGUCCCUUUUGAUUAUUGUUUACACGGUUCGUCUUUUUCCACCUUUCCCCGUUGGACUCUGACGCGUCUCUGCUGUGGGAAGCGCAUCGCCGCCCCGGCGUCUCUCUCCGCUGCGGGGAGCCCAUCGCGGCCCCGGCGUCUCUCUCCGCUGCGGGGAGCGCAUCGCGGCCCCGGCGUCUCUCUCCGCUGCGGGGAGCCCAUCGCCGCCCCGGCGUCUCUCUCCGCUGCGGGGAGCCCAUCGCCGCCCCGGCGUCUCUCUCCGCUGCGGGGAGCCCAUCGCGGCCCCGGCGUCUCUCUCCGCUGCGGGGAGCCCAUCGCGGCCCCGGCGUCUCUCUCCGCUGCGGGGAGCCCAUCGCGGCCCCGGCGUCUCUCUCCGCUGCGGGGAGCCCAUCGCCGCCCCGGCGUCUCUCUCCGCUGCGGGGAGCCCAUCGCCGCCCCGGCGUCUCUCUCCGCUGCGGGGAGCCCAUCGCCGCCCCGGCGUCUCUCUCCGCUGCGGGGAGCCCAUCGCCGCCCCGGCGUCUCUCUCCGCUGCGGGGAGCCCAUCGCGGCCCCGGCGUCUCUCUCCGCUGCGGGGAGCCCAUCGCCGCCCCGGCGUCUCUCUCCGCUGCGGGGAGCCCAUCGCCGCCCCGGCGUCUGUCUCCGCUGCGGGGAGCCCAUCGCCGCCCCGGCGUCUGUCUCCGCUGCGGGGAGCCCAUCGCCGCCCCGGCGUCUGUCUCCGCUGCGGGGAGCCCAUCGCCGCCCCGGCGUCUGUCUCCGCUGCGGGGAGCCCAUCGCCGCCCCGGCGUCUGUCUCCGCUGCGGGGAGCCCAUCGCCGCCCCGGCGUCUGUCUCCGCUGCGGGGAGCCCAUCGCCGCCCCGGCGUCUGUCUCCGCUGCGGGGAGCCCAUCGCCGCCCCGGCGUCUGUCUCCGCUGCGGGGAGCCCAUCGCCGCCCCGGCGUCUGUCUCCGCUGCGGGGAGCCCAUCGCGGCUCUGGCGUCUCUCUCCGCUGCGGGGAGCCCAUCGCCGCCCCGGCGUCUCUCUCCGCUGCGGGGAGCCCAUCGCGGCUCUGGCGUCUCUCUCCGCUGCGGGGAGCCCAUCGCCGCCCCGGCGUCUCUCUCCGCUGUGGGAAGCGCAUCGCCGCCCCGGCAUCUCUCUCCGCUGCGGGAAGCCCAUCUCUGGGCUGCGCUGCUUCCUGUUCUGCCGCCCUUUGCUUUCUGGCCGCGAUUCCACUGAAUGUGAUCACUGAAAAGGUGGGAUUUGCGUCCACUGUUUUACCAGUUGUUUUCUCUAUGGCUUGUAUCUGUUUUGUUUCUUUACUCUUCUUUUACUGCCUACUUUUAUGUUAAACAGAUAUUUCAUUUAUACAAUUUUAAUUAUUUUGAUGUUUCUUUUACUCCUUUUUAAUUUACUUGCUCAGUGGUUGUUCUGGAGAAUGUAAUUAAAAUCGUAUCUUAAAGCAAACUACUGCAAAUUAAUACCAAAU
rnacentral:lncRNA from 1 species